rnacentral:rRNA from 1 species
ACGGGUGAGUAAUGUAUCGGGACUACUUUCAGUGGGGGAUAACGUACGAAAGUUACGCUAAUACCGCAUAUCUGUGAGCAGGAAAGCAGGGGAUCGCAAGACCUUGCGCUGAUUGAGCGGCCGAUAUCAGAUUAGCUAGUUGGUGAGGUAAAGGCUCACCAAGGCGACGAUCUGUACGGGUCUGAAGGAUGAUCCGCCACACUGGAACUGAGACACGGUCCAGACUCCUACGGGAGGCAGCAGUAGGGAAUUUUGGACAAUGGGCGCAAGCCUGAUCCAGCCAUGCCGCGUGAGUGAAGAAGGCCUUCGGGUUGUAAAGCUCUUUCAGCCGGGAAGAAAACGCAUGGGUUAAUACCCUGUGUGGAUGACGGUACCGGAAUAAGAAGCACCGGCUAACUACGUGCCAGCAGCCGCGGUAAUACGUAGGGUGCGAGCGUUAAUCGGAAUUACUGGGCGUAAAGCGUGCGCAGGCGGUUUGUUAAGAUAGGCGUGAAAUCCCCGGGCUCAACCUGGGAACUGGUUUAUGACUUGGCAGGCUAAGUAUGGGCAAAGGGGGGUGGGAAUUCCACGUGUACAUUGAAAUUGGGUAAAGAUUUUGGA